AGAGUUUGAUCCUGGCUCAGGAUGAACGCUGGCGGUAUGCCUAACACAUGCAAGUCGUACGAGAGUUUUUAACUCUAGUGGCGGACGGGUGAGUAACACGUGAGAAUUUGCCUUUAGGAGGGGGAUAACAAUUGGAAACGAAUGCUAAUACCCCAUAUGCUUUUAAGUGAAAUGGAUUUUAUCCGCCUAGAGAGAAGCUCGCGGCUGAUUAGCUUGUUGGUAAGGUAAGAGCUUACCAAGGCGACGAUCAGUAUCUGGUUUGAGAGGACGAUCAGACACACUGGAACUGAGACACGGUCCAGACUCCUACGGGAGGCAGCAGUGGGGAAUUUUCCGCAAUGGGCGAAAGCCUGACGGAGCAAUACCGCGUGAGGGAAGAAUGCCUAUGGGUUGUAAACCUCUUUUUUCAGGGAGGAACAAAAUGACGUGUACCUGAAGAAUAAGCAUCGGCUAACUCCGUGCCAGCAGCCGCGGUAAGACGGAGGAUGCAAGUGUUAUCCGGAAUCACUGGGCGUAAAGCGUCUGUAGGUGGUUUAAUAAGUCAACUGUUAAAUCUUGACGGCUCAACUUCAAAAUCGCAGUCGAAACUAUUAGACUAGAGUAUAGUAGAGGUAAAGGGAAUUUCCAGUGGAGCGGUGAAAUGCGUAGAUAUUGGAAAGAACACCGAUGGCGAAAGCACUUUACUGGGCUAUUACUAACACUCCAGAGACGAAAGCUAGGGGUAGCAAAUGGGAUUAGAUACCCCAGUAGUCCUAGCUGUAAACAAUGGAUACUAGAUGUUUGAACAGAUCGACCU
rnacentral:rRNA from 1 species